rnacentral:pre_miRNA from 1 species
UGGAUAAUCUGAUGACUGCAGAGCCCAGACAGAGGCGUCAUUCCGUGCAUCAUAGCCAUCACCCCGUCGAUUGAGUUCUGCAAGCCGUCGAGUUUCUGCCU